UCAUAUAUGUGGCCCGUUGUUGAUGGAAACGUCGUUAUGUGGCAUGUGACUGUAUGUAUAUGUACGUAGGCUUACUUAUGUAUGUAUGUGUAUAUACACAUAUGUGAUGUUAUUUACUUCCUUAUUCAUUCCUUCAGGAAGUGCUUACUGAGUGUCACUGUGUUAUAGGCAUGUGGAUGUACAGCCCCAUAAACAGAACAGACGUGGCCCCUGCCUGUGUGGAACAUGCGGUCCAGUUAGGAAGACAGACACACACAAAUGAUUACGAGCCCGAGGCAUGUCUGUCAGCAAAGGGAAGUUCGUGGCUGGGGUGCACAGAGCAUUCACAUGUGCUCCCACCCUUCCCUGUGGCCCAGCCCAGAAGGAGAGAUUUGAAAAGGCACUGAUGUGGAAGGUAAACCCGGGAAAGUUUAAUGCAGUUGGUACUUUUGACUUGAAAGUUGCUGUGAAGCCUCCAAUGAAAUGUUAAGGUCCCUGAGCUCCACGAAGGAGAAGGGAGCUGGGUAAGGAGGUCUCUAACCGUGGCUCCUAGAGCCCAUUGCCGCCAGUCAGCCCGUCGUGAAGCACCAGGCUGCAAGAGUGCAUCCCCAGCUGGAGGGCAAAGGAACCUCAUCACUAUAGGCCUGCGCGGGGCGCUCCCUGAAAAGAGACGUUGUCAGAAGGCCACUGAACUUCUCAUCCACAGACUUCCCUCCCAGCAUGUGGUGUGAGAAAUUGCUCAGGACUUCCAAACAGAUUUGCGCUUCCACAGCGCAGCCCUUGGUGCUUUGCAGGAGGCAAGUGAGGGCCUUCUGGUUGUCCUUCGUGAAGACGUCCGCCUGUGUGCUGUCUGUGCCAAAGGCGUACAGAUGAUGCCACUGACAUCCCGUCAGCACGCCGCAUACACAGAGAGUGUGCUUCAGACUCCACCAGGAUGGGAAACAUUUCAUCCUCAAAAAAAAUUAUCUUCUUUUUGUUACUAGUAGUUCCAAACAUUAGAUUGUUUUUCCCCUAUGGGGUCAAAAGGAACCUAAGUAUCUGAUUGAGAGUGGAAAAAUAGGAGACAGAAAUCAAAUAUUGGCAGUGUUUCCAUCUUCAUUUGUAUGUGAAUUUUUAAUAUAAAAGCAGGGACGUAAGGCACCAAUGCAGAUCACAAUGUUUCAGCAAGCAAGGUUCAGCCCCUGAAUUUCGUAACAAUUAUAAAGAAACCUGUUAAAACUUUCUGCGUAAUGCCAGCAUUUGGAUUUUCUUAAAACAACUAAAUUUCUUAUUGACAACAUCUAAAUGGUGUUUGCUGAAUCUUUAUCGUACAGUGGAUUCCAGCCAUUUAAUAUACUUUCCCGAGUUGUCUUGCGUGCAAGUGCGUAUGUUUAAUGUUGUCUGUCUUCUGUGAAGUUCCUAUAAGUUUGCUGUUAAAAUGCAUUAAACUAUAAAAAAAACUCUAGGGAUAAUUUCAA